GUUUUGGACGCGUCCAAAACCAUUCUCAUGAGCUAUAAAUUGGCUAAUUUGUUUGCAUUUGUCUAGGGAUUGGUUUUAGAUGCAUCCAAAACCAUUUUCAUUAGCGCUAAAAUUGGUGAAUUGAUUUGCAUUUUCCUGCAGGGUUGGUUUUGGACGCAUCCAAAACCAUUCUCAAGAGCUUUAAAUUGGCUAAUUUGUUCGCUUUUGUCUAGAGAUUGGUUUUGGAUGCAUCUAAAACCAUUUCCAAAUGCACUAAAAUCGGCUGAUUUGUCUGGGGAUUUUUUGCUAAAAUCAGCGAAUUGGUUUGCAUUUCUCCAGGAUAGUUUUGGACAUAUUGGUCAAUUGAUUUGCAUUAUCUCGCAGGGUUGGUUUUGGACGCAUCCGAAACCAUUGUCAUGAGCUAUAAAUUAGCUAAUUUGUUUGCAUUUGUCUAAGCAUUGGUUUUGGACGCAUCCAAAACCAUUUCCAUAAGCGCUAAAAUCGGCUGAUUUGUCUGGGGAUUUUUUGCUAAAAUCAGCGAAUUGGUUUCCAUUUCUCCAGGAUAGUUUUGGACAUAUUGGUCAAUUGAUUUGCAUUUUCCUGCAGGGUUGGUUUUGGACGCAUCCAAAACCAUUCUCAUGAGCUUUAAAUUGGCUAAUUUGUUCGCUUUUGUCUAGAGAUUGGUUUAGGAUGCAUCUAAAACCAUUUCCAAAUGCACUAAAAUCGGCUGAUUUGUCUGGGGAUUUUUUGCUAAAAUCAGCGAAUUGGUUUCCAUUUCUCCAGGAUAGUUUUGGACAUAUUGGUCAAUUGAUUUGCAUUUUCUCGCAGGGGUUGGUUUUGGACGCGUCCUAAACCAUUCUCAUGAGCUAUAAAUUGGCUAAUUUGUUUGCAUUUGUCUAGGGAUUGGUUUUAGAUGCAUCCAAAACCAUUUUCAUUAGCGCUAAAAUUGGUGAAUUGAUUUGCAUUUUCCUGCAGGGUUGGUUUUGGACGCAUCCAAAACCAUUCUCAUGAGCUUUAAAUUGGCUAAUUUGUUCGCUUUUGUCUAGAGAUUGGUUUUGGAUGCAUCUAAAACCAUUUCCAAAUGCACUAAAAUCGGCUGAUUUGUCUGGGGAUUUUUUGCUAAAAUCAGCGAAUUGGUUUGCAUUUCUCCAGGAUAGUUUUGGACAUAUUGGUCAAUUGAUUUGCAUUAUCUCGCAGGGUUGGUUUUGGACGCAUCCGAAACCAUUCUCAUGAGCUAUAAAUUAGCUAAUUUGUUUGCAUUUGUCUAAGCAUUGGUUUUGGAUGCACCAAAACCAUUUUCAUUAGCGCUAAAAUUGGUGAAUUGAAUUGCAUUUUCCUGCAGGGUUGGUUUUUGACGCAUCCAAAACCAUUCUGAUGAGCUAUACAUUGGCAAAUUUGUCUAGGGAUUGGUUUUGGACGCAUCUAAAACCAUUUUCAAAAGCACUAAAAUCGGCUGAUUUGUUUUCAUUUGUCUGGGGAUUUUUUGCUAAAAUCAGCGAAUUGGUUUGCAUUUCUCCAGGAUAGUUUUGGACAUAUUGGUCAAUUGAUUUGCAUUUUCUCGCAGGAUUGGUUUUGGACGCGUCCGAAACCAUUCUCAUGAGCUAUAAAUUGGCUAAUUUGUCUAGAGAUUGGUUUUAGAUGCAUCCAAAACCAUUUUCACUAGCGCUAAAAUCGGUAAAUUGGUGAAUUGAUUUGCAUUUUCCCACAGGGUUGGUUUUGGACGCGUCCAAAACCAUUCUCAUGAGCUAUAAAUUGGUCAAUUUGUUUGCACUUGUUUAGAGUUUGAUUUUGGAUGCAUGUAAAACCAUUUCCAAACGCACCAAAAUCGGCUGAUUUGUUUUCAUUUGUCUGGAGAUUUUUUGCUAAAAUCAGCGAAUUGGUUUGCAUUUCUCUAGGAUAGUUUUGGACAUAUCGGCAAAUUGAUUUGCAUUUUCCUACAGGGUUGGUAUUGGACGCGUCCAAAACCAUUCUCAUGAGCUAUAAAUUGCCUAAUUUUUUUGCAUUUGUCUAGGGAUUGGUUUUGGAUGUAUCCAAAACCAUUUUCCUUGGCGCUAAAAUCGGUAAAUUGAUUUGCAUUUUCCUAUAGGUUUGGUUUUGGGCGCAUCCAAAACCAUUCUCAUUAGCUAUGAAUUGCCUAAUUUGUUUGCAUUUGUCUAGGGAUUGGUUUUGAAUGCAUCCAGAACCAUUUUCAUUAGCGCUAAAAUCGGUAAAUUGAUUUCCAUUUCCCUUAGCUGAUGCUAUCUUAACCAAAACUAUUGUAAAUUAUAGCAUAUUCGUACCAUAGAUUCCUUGUAUAUUAUUGCCUUUAUUGUAUAUAAUGUAUCUUAAUAAAGUGGGUAAAUAAAGGUUUUUUAAUCUGUUGUCAAGUCAAAGUGUGUAUUUACUGUUUAGUUGUUUUUUUAUGUUAUGUUAGGCGGUUUUCG